rnacentral:rRNA from 1 species
AGUGGCGAACGGGUGAGUAACACGUGAGUAACCUGCCCUUAACUCUGGGAUAAGCCUGGGAAACUGGGUCUAAUACCGGAUAUGACUCCUCAUCGCAUGGUGGGGGGUGGAAAGCUUUUUGUGGUUUUGGAUGGACUCGCGGCCUAUCAGCUUGUUGGUGAGGUAAUGGCUCACCAAGGCGACGACGGGUAGCCGGCCUGAGAGGGUGACCGGCCACACUGGGACUGAGACACGGCCCAGACUCCUACGGGAGGCAGCAGUGGGGAAUAUUGCACAAUGGGCGCAAGCCUGAUGCAGCGACGCCGCGUGAGGGAUGACGGCCUUCGGGUUGUAAACCUCUUUCAGUAGGGAAGAAGCGAAAGUGACGGUACCUGCAGAAGAAGCGCCGGCUAACUACGUGCCAGCAGCCGCGGUAAUACGUAGGGCGCAAGCGUUAUCCGGAAUUAUUGGGCGUAAAGAGCUCGUAGGCGGUUUGUCGCGUCUGCCGUGAAAGUCCGGGGCUCAACUCCGGAUCUGCGGUGGGUACGGGCAGACUAGAGUGAUGUAGGGGAGACUGGAAUUCCUGGUGUAGCGGUGAAAUGCGCAGAUAUCAGGAGGAACACCGAUGGCGAAGGCAGGUCUCUGGGCAUUAACUGACGCUGAGGAGCGAAAGCAUGGGGAGCGAACAGGAUUAGAUACCCUGGUAGUCCAUGCCGUAAACGUUGGGCACUAGGUGUGGGGGACAUUCCACGUUUUCCGCGCCGUAGCUAACGCAUUAAGUGNCCCGCCUGGGGAGUACGGNCGCANGCUAAACUCAAAGGAAUUGACGGGGGCCCCGCACAAGCGGCGGAGCAUGCGGAUUAAUUCGAUGCAACGCGAGAA